rnacentral:rRNA from 1 species
AUUGAACGCUGGCGGCAUGCUUUACACAUGCAAGUCGGACGGCAGCACAGAGAAGCUUGCUUCUUGGGUGGCGAGUGGCGAACGGGUGAGUAACAUAUCGGAACGUACCGAGCAGUGGGGGAUGACUAAUCGAAAGAUUAGCUAAUACCGCAUAUCUUCUGAGGAAGAAAGCAGGGGACCAUUUGGCCUUGCGCUGUUUGAGCGGCCGAUAUCUGAUUAGCUAGUUGGUGGGGUAAAGGCCUACCAAGGCGACGAUCAGUAGCGGGUCUGAGAGGAUGAUCCGCCACACUGGGACUGAGACACGGCCCAGACUCCUACGGGAGGCAGCAGUGGGGAAUUUUGGACAAUGGGCGCAAGCCUGAUCCAGCCAUGCCGCGUGUCUGAAGAAGGCCUUCGGGUUGUAAAGGACUUUUGUCAGGGAAGAAAAGGGCGGGGUUAAUACCCCUGUCUGAUGACGGUACCUGAAGAAUAAGCACCGGCUAACUACGUG